CCGUAGCCCAAGAGAUCGGGAUAACACCUGGAAACAGAUGCUAAUACCGGAUAACAACAGAUGAUGCCUAUCAACUGUUUAAAAGAUGGUUCUGCUAUCACUCUUGGAUGGACCUGCGGUGCAUUAGCUAGUUGGUAGGGUAACGGCCUACCAAGGCGAUGAUGCAUAGCCGAGUUGAGAGACUGAUCGGCCACAUUGGGACUGAGACACGGCCCAAACUCCUACGGGAGGCAGCAGG
rnacentral:rRNA from 1 species